GCACACAACAGAGCACAGCGGCGUCGGACCUGUCUCCACUUUUAGACACAGUAAAACACAGAAUGUUAAUGUAGCGGGGGAUUCUGUGAGUGUUUUCGCGUCUUGCUCUCAUUAUGGACGUCGGGUUGUUGCUGCUGACGGGAUAAUAACCAUUUUUGCUUACUUCUUUUUUUUUUCUUUUGAGGAUCCUGUAUGGGGAUAUCUUUUUUUUUUUUUUUUUUUUCUCGUCGCUUGCAGAUUUGCUGGAGACACAAGAAGGGAAUGGCUGGCUUGCAUGAAAGGACAUUUUAACAACUCGAGUAGACAAGUGUGAGCCCAGCUUUGCACGGAAAAGUUUCACUACCUCAGAGAGAGAGAGAGAGAGGGAGAGAGAGAGACGGACGGACCCCCCCCUCCGAGAGGAGAGACUUGCUCGGCUUGUCUGGCUCCAGUCGUGGCCUGGCUCCGGGCACUCCCAAGCUUAUCCGCCUAGCAUCGGAGCUCAGGCGACGAGACUAAAGCGAAGACAGCAGCAGCAGGAGGAGGAGGAGGAGGAGAAGGAGGAAGGCUUUUUCCCCUGUGUGUGUUUAUAUCAUCGGCUCUGGAUGCAUUCUUUUUAAAAGGGAAAAAAGGCAUUCAAUUAUCCUGCAAGACAAAAACAAUGGCGUCUUAUGUGGAUAACAGCUUUCGGCAGGCUGUGAUGAUGAACCCGGCUGAAAGGACGCAACAGGACUUGGAGAUCGUCUACUCGUACCUCCACGGGAUGGAGGCCUUGUCCAACCUGCGAGAGCACCAGCUCAGGAUAAUGUGCGAGUCGGUGCGCUACGAGAGACACGAGGCCAAUGAAGUGCUGUACUAUCCUGACGACGUUGGAAGCUGCUGGUACAUCCUGCUGUCCGGCUCGGUCUUCAUUAAGGAGUCCAUGUUCCUGCCCAGAAGCAGUUUUGGGAAGCGAUCAGCCGGCAGCCUUCGACGCGGAUGUGAGUGCAUCGUCCUGGAACCGUCAGAGAUGAUUGUGGUGGACUAUAUGGAUGAAAAUGAGGAGUACUUUCAGCGGCAAGCCUCGCACAGACAGUCCCGCCGGCGCUUUAGGAAGAUCAACCAGAAAGGGGAGCGACAGACGAUCAUCGACACCGUGGAUCCGUACCCGACCGGAAAGCCGCCCAUAGCCCGGGGUUACCACACGGAAUGCAAUAAACCUCAGCUCCCCGCAGACUUCAGCAGACUUCACCUGGCCGACGGCUUGCACCCACAGGUGACCCACGUCUCCUCCAGCCACUCAGGAUGUAGUAUCACCAGCGACUCUGGAAGCAGCAGCCUGUCAGACAUUUACCAGGCCACAGAAAACGAACCAGGCGACAUGGACCUGAGUGGCCUGCCAGAGACCGCCGUCGACUCGGAGGAGGACGACGAUGAGGAGGACAUCGAGCGAGCGUCGGAUCCCCUCAUGAGCCGGGACAUCGUGCGGGACUGUCUGGAGAAAGACCCCAUGGACCGAACAGACGAUGACAUCGAGCAAUUACUGGAGUUCAUGCAUCAGCUGCCAGCAUUCGCCAACAUGACCAUGUCAGUGAGGAGGGAACUCUGCGCCGUCAUGGUCUUCGCCGUGGUGGAACGGGCCGGCACCAUCGUCCUCAACGAUGGAGAGGAGCUGGACUCGUGGUCGGUGAUCCUGAACGGCUCGGUGGAGGUGACGUACCCCGACAGCCGGACGGAGAUCCUGUGCAUGGGGAACAGUUUUGGGGUGUCACCCACCAUGGAGAAGGAAUACAUGAAGGGCGUCAUGAAGACCAAGGUGGACGACUGCCAGUUUGUGUGUAUAGCCCAGCAGGACUACUGCUGCAUCCUCAACCAGGUGGAGAAGAACAUGCAGAAGGUGGAGGAGGAGGGAGAGAUUGUGAUGGUGAAGGAGCACCGCGAGCUGGACCGCACGGGCACAAGGAAAGGACACAUCGUCAUCAAGGGCACAUCGGAGCGUCUCACCAUGCACCUCGUGGAGGAGCACUCGGUGGUGGAUCCCACCUACAUCGAGGACUUCCUGUUGACCUACAGGACCUUCCUCUCCAGCCCCAUGGUCGUGGGCAAGAAGCUCCUGGAGUGGUUCCACGACCCGAGUCUCAGGGACAAAGUUACACGGGUAGUCUUGCUGUGGGUAAACAAUCACUUCAACGACUUUGAGGGUGACACCGCCAUGACUCACUUCCUGGAGGAGUUUGAAAACAAUCUGGAGAAAGAAAAAAUGUGCGGGCACCUCAGACUGUUAAACAUAGCGUGCGCUGCUAAAGCUAAGCCUCGGCUGGUGACGCUGACUAAGCCGGGCAGGGACUCCCCGCUGGCCUUCAAUCUCCUGGGAGGACAGGAGAAAGGUUUCCGCAUCUUCAUCGAAGCCGUGGAGCCCGGGAGCAAGGCAGCAGAAGUCGGCCUUAAGCGUGGAGAUCAGAUCUUGGAGGUCAAUGGACAAAACUUUGAAAACGUCCAGCUCAACAAAGCCAACGAGAUUCUGAAGAACAACACCCACCUGUCCAUAACUGUGAAAACAAACCUCUUAGUGUUUAAAGAGCUGCUAACCAGGCCAGAACAUGACCACGAUCUGGACGGCGAGGAGGAACACGACCGAAAGAACGGAGCGCCCCACCUGCCGAAGAUCGGAGACAUCAAGAAGGCGAGCCGGUACUCCAUCCCCGACCUGGCGGUGGACGUGGAGCAGGUGAUGGGCCUGGAGAAGGUCAGCAAGAAGGCCAAGACCAACACGGUGGGAGGACGCAACAAGCUGAAGAAGAUCUUCGACAAGACGCUCACCAGCAUCCUGCCUCCUAAACCGUACAACGACGUUUGCGUGGGCCAAUCACAGGACGACAGCAUCGUGGGCAUGAAGCAGUCCAAACAGAUCCCUCCACCUCUGCCCGUCAGCGGGAACCUGUCGUCGUCGAACCCCGACCUCCUGCAGUCCCACCACCGCAUCCUGGACUUCAACAACCAGCCUGUCCCAGUCACACCCAACAUGUCGGACCAGGUGUUGCGAGUCUUCAAGGCCGACCAGCAGUCUCGAUACAUCAUGAUCGGGAAGGACACCACGGCUAAGGAGGUGGUGGCUCAGGCCAUCAGGGAGUUCGCCCUGACUGCAGCGGCGGACGCGUACUCGCUGUGCGAAGUGUCCGUCACACCCGAGGGCGUCAUCAAGCAGAGGCGGUUACCCGAUCAGCUGUCCAAACUCGCAGACAGGAUUCAGCUGAGUGGAAGAUACUACCUGAAGAGCAACAUGGAGACGGAGACGUUGUGCUCGGACGACGACGCUCAGGAUCUCCUGCGAGAGGCGCAGAUCUCUCUGCUGCAGCUCAGCACGGUGGAGGUCGCCACCCAGCUCUCCAUGCGGGCCUUCGAACUCUUCUGCGCCAUCGAGCCCACCGAGUACAUCGACGACCUCUACAAGCUGCGCUCCAAGACGGGCUCGGCCAGCCUGAAGCGCUUCGAGGAGGCCAUCAAUCACGAGACCUUCUGGGUGGCGUCGGAGGUGACGCGGGAGCCCAACCAGCUCAAGAGGAUGAAGACCGUCAAGCACUUCAUCAAGAUCGCCCUGCACUGCCGGGAGUGCAAGAACUUCAACUCCAUGUUCGCCAUCAUCAGUGGUCUGAACCUGGCUCCGGUCUCCAGACUCCGGGGGACCUGGGAGAAGCUUCCCAGCAAAUACGAGAAGUUGUUCUCGGACCUGCAGGACCUCUUCGACCCCUCGAGAAAUAUGGCCAAGUACAGGAAUGUCCUCAACAAUCAGAACCUCCAGCCUCCAAUCAUCCCCCUGUUCCCCGUCAUCAAGAAGGACCUCACCUUCCUGCAUGAAGGCAAUGACUCCAAAGUGGACGGCCUGGUGAACUUCGAGAAGCUAAGGAUGAUCGCCAAAGAAAUCCGCCAUGUUGGCCGCAUGGCCUCCGUCAACAUGGACCCGGCUCUCAUGUUCAGGACCAGGAAGAAGAAAUGGAGAAGUUUAGGGUCCCUAAGUCAGGGCAGUGCCAACGCGGCAGUGCUCGACGUCAACCAGACGGGCGGGCACAAGAAGCGGGUGCGACGCAGCUCCUUCCUGAACGCCAAAAAGCUCUACGAGGACGCCCAGAUGGCCAGGAAGGUCAAACAGUAUCUGUCCAACCUCAGCCUGGAGACCAACGAGGAGAGUCUGCAGACGCUGUCGAUGCAGUGUGAGCCCUCCAUCAGCACAUUGCCCAAGAAUGCCGGUGGGAAACGACCAGACACCUCGCCGGUCGUGUCCAGAGCUGCCAGCCAGCAGAGGGGCCAGCUAGCCAAAGGAAGCCAGGCCCUCCAGGUCCCUGCAGUCGCCCUUUACCCAUCCCGAAAGAAAGUGCCAGUCAAGGAUCUGCCGCCUUUCGGCACCAGCUCGCCCCAGUCUCUGAAGAAGAUCCUCUCUCUGUCGGAGGAGGGGAACGAGAGGCACCGCAGGCAGCCAGAGGACACCGUGUCCAACGCCUCCUCCCAGCUCUCCUCCCCUCCCACCUCCCCACAGAGCUCACCCAAGAAGGGUUACAACAGGAUGGGAGACGCGUACUCAGACUCCGGUCACAGUGAGAUCUCCUCUCGCUCCAGCCUCGUCAGUAACUCCUCUUUCGACAUGGCCCAGGAGGAGCGGAGACUCCGUCACUCCGGAGGAGUCGGGGAGUCGCACAUCGUCGGGGCGCGGCUGGAACGAAGAGCCACCACUGACCCCGACCAGUACAGCCUCGGGUCGUAUUCAUCGAUGCAGGACUGUCGAGGGAUCUACACCGGCUGCCCGACGGUGCUCUCCUCACCCAGCUCAGAGGAGCUGACUCAGGAUCAGGGCGAUCGAGUUUCCCUCGACGCCGCAGACAGCGGCCGCGGCUCCUGGACUUCCUGCUCCUCCGGUUCCCAUGACAACAUCCAGACGAUGCAGCAGGGACGCAGCUGGGAGACUCUGGCCUUCGGUGGAGGAGGAGGAGGAGGCGGCGGCGGAGGUGGCAUCGGGGGCCUCCCUCACGGGGGUCCAGAGGCCUUGUUAGGGGGGCCUGCCGCUCUGUGGGCGGCUCAGGCCAGGGGGAGCUGGGCGUCUGCCAGCUCCUCCUCGUCCUCAGCCGCGUACUGGGGGGAGGACUCCGAAGGAGACACGGGCACCAUCAAGAGGAGAGGAGGGAAGGACGUGAACGCAGACCCAGAAACCAGUAGCAUCACCUCCACCGGGUCGGAGGAGGCCAAGCUGCUCGGACGGCCGUCUCCGUCGCCCAUCACCGCUGGGGGUAAAGGACUUCUUUCACGGAAAGAAAGUCGUUACCGCGAGCCCCCCCCGACUCCCCCCGGCUACACCGCCCUGACCAUCUCUGACCUCGCCGAGGGGCAGCACCCGACCACGCCCGUCCCCACGUCGACGACGACCCACACGGGCCGCCGGCCGCCGGACUACACGACGGCCCUGCAGCGCUCGCGCAUGGUCACCCAGUCGCCCGACUCCCACCAGGCCCACCAGGCGGCCAAACAGCGCGGGGGCGGCCUCCAUCGCACGCGCUCGCCGGCCGACGACGAAGAUGCUGAGGAGGAAGAGGAGGGUGAGUCCUUGUCUCCCAAACUAAUCGCUCUGAGGAAGCCAAAGCGAGGCGCACAGCACACACCCGAGACUCCCAGACCAUGAGAGUGUGUGUACGGGGGGUUAACAGGCAGGGCCCCCUCUCUCCCCAAAGGCAGAGGACGAACAGGUGUCAGCGGUCUGAGGGUCGGCGGGGGGACGACGACGACGACGUCCUUUUUUUUUUUGCAGUAACUUGAAGUCCUUCGGUUUUUUGGGGGCGGGCAGGAUCAAAGAGACAAGACGGACCAACAUGGACUCAUCAUCAGUUACAUACGUGCCUGCCUCCUCCACUCGGCUCUCCCUCCUGAUUGGUGGGACUCCUCUGCUCGUCUCCCUCCCCUGCCUUAAAGCAUCAUAAGGGGGUUGAAAGACCCUGCAUGCAAAAAAAUAAAAAAUACUGUGAAGAAGAGAUGGAGAGAAGGUCAAAGACGAUGGGAAAAAAACAAAACGCCUGGCACUUUGGAUAAAAAGACAGAAACCUAAGUGGUGCCGGGAGGGGGGGGGUCGAGCCGCCUCAUGCUCAUAAAAACCACAUCGCGGUUAGGAGCGGUUUCUUUAACCUCCGACCUCCAUCCAGUGACAACAAACCCCCCUCCCCCCCCCCCCCCCCCCCCCCCCCCCCCCCCCUCGUGUUAACACAACAGCAUCCUGACGUGUUGACCUUCAUCUGCACUUUUUCAUUUUCUACUUUCUAAAACAGAUUUAAAAAAAAAAAAACAGACGUUUGUUUUGAAGAUGGAGGGAGAAAAAACGGUCGACUUUGACUCUAAAUGUUCCCCACUCUUUUUUUUUUUUGUUUUGUUUUUUUGUUAAUUCUUUGACUGAUUGCACUCUGGGGGCCGAGAAAACGAGAGUCAGCCCCAAGUCAGCCCAUUUCCUCUGCCUGGACUGAAACAACCCCCGCCUGUUGGUUUUGAGUGUUUGAACUCUUCAGUAUUAUCUCAUGUGUCACAUGUGAAAGAUUAUCAAGUGUUGGUUGAAAUCCAAACUGACACACCUGCACACACACACACAUACACACACACAGAGUACAUUUUAUGUACAAGAACAUUCAGAAAAAAACACAAUUUAUUUCAAAGAAAAGCACUUUCAGCACAAUCGUAAAUGUGAGCAGACAUUUUGGCCUGGAUACCAGGGUAUGAUUGAUCCAUAUCUGACUGUCGGUCCACCUCGGAGCUCGUCUGCUUGGAAUCAAGAGUCUAUCCUGUUUGCUUGCUGUUUUUUGUAACUGGGCUUAAAGGGGAUAUCGAUUAAAAAAAAGCACACAGGUGAUGGACCACCCACUGAAAACUGAGCAAAAACAUGCCUGACUCCAUCAUGUUGGUCUCCAGAGAUUCACAAGGUUACUAAAGCUGAAGAAAUCAAGAGGAGCCGGUGCAGGAGAGGAGGUGUUAUCACGGAGGGUCGUCCUUUUUUAUACCUAAAUUUAAAGUCGGUAACAAUUUAAACGAAGUUACACAUUGAUGGGAUACUUCUGAGCAUGCUUAUUAGCAACACAACAGGCUUUUUGUUCUCCACUAUGAAGCACUUCAUGCCUUUUUAAUACCUGACGCUAUGUGAUAGCCACUAGGUCAUGAACUGAGACCUUUUCCUUCAGUAACCAGCUAACACACACACACACACACACACACACACACAGAUCUAUACUCACCAGGAUCCUGUACAUGAACUUCCUAUUUAGUAUGAAUUAGCAUCAAAGAGGUGGAUAUUAAAGGAGCAGUCUGAAGCUGUUUUCACACAUGCACUCAUGAAACAUGAACACCUAACAGCACGAGUUCUCUACUGAGACCCGCCCCGUCCGAUCUCAGGAGGCAAGACAUGUUGGAAAUGGGCGGAGCUACAGCAUCCGACACCAUAGUAACGCUGUUAUAUUUUGCCUUUCUAUCAAAGCGACGUGCAAAUGGACGUAUCAGAGAAUCAGAACAGAACCUUCUGGUGACAGAAACGAGCGUGAAGCCGCUUCAUUACGUGCAAGAUGAUGCACGUGCAUUCAAACGUCGUUGCACCUCGCCGUGGAUUUUCUGCUCAUUAUCUCACCCAGACUUCAUGAGGAGAAAGUCGACGUUAAUACUGCGUCCGUUUGCAUUCACACAUGCAGCCGACUCCUGAAAUUUGAAGAGUUUAGUGUACGUGUGAAAACAGCUCCAGUUGAUAACCGAGCAGCUGCAGAUCUCAGUCCUGCAGAAUAAAGAGUUAUUAAAAUACUUUCUUACUAUGAUGCUAAUAAACAUGCUCAGCCACACAUGCUCGAGGUGAAUGUGUAUCUUAAGUCAGAUGAGUUACCCCGUGUGUUUUUUUAUUUUUUAAGGACGGGUGGCAAAGAAUCCGUCGAUGUGUGACCCUCGACUGUACCUCUGAUUAUACCGACCUUUUCAGUUGAUCUUGUACAGAGUCUUAUAAUAAUACUCACAUUAAAGGUCAAAGUAUCCCCACAUUCAAAUUUGGCAUUCCCCCCCCCCCGACCUGAACAUAACUCCACAUUUUUUAGUGAAUGUUUAAAAAAAGCGCCUUACGAUGCCAUGAGUGCGUCCAUUUCUUCACAUGGUCGUCCCCGUCACUAAUCACCUUUUUUGAAGAGCAGUUAGGAAAUCAAACGAGAGCGGAGUGAAAUGCCUUAUUCAAGAUACUCCCCCUCCCCUGACUUUUUUAAAAACGAUGUAUAUUAAAGACUCAGUACAAGAUGAAGGCAGGCGUUUUGUUUUCUCGUACGCGUCUCCUCCCUGCUCCUGUGCUCGUAGACUCCUCCUCCUCCUCCUCCUCCUCCUCCUCCUCCUCCUCCUCGCCUGUUACACUGGACGCCUGCGUCCACUUUACCGUCACCUCUCUCCAUCAACGGAAGUGACUGAAGAUUUUUUUUAUUCCUUUGACUCCGGUGGGACGUUGACGUAUGAAGAAACCUUUUUUUUUUUUUUUUUUUUUUUUACAGGCUGCCAAUCAGAACAAUUGAAAAACUCCAUCAGUGACUCGACACGUGUUGUUUUCUUUCUAUCGCUGAGUCGCGCUGAUCACAUUGAUCAGUCUCAGAAACUACAGACUGAGAAACACAUGGAUGAGUGCAGUGUGUGUGUGUUUUCCCCACUGUGUUCUGUGACUACACACUUCAUGAUUUCAUGGGUUCCUUUUUUUUUUUUUUUUUUUUUUGUUGUAAUUUUUUUUUUGUUUUGUAAUGGCUGCAGAUAGAUUGUUAAUAAUAAUUUGUUUGUGAUACAGUGGUGACAUGCAUCAUUCACUUUUUCAUUCAAACUCUGAAGAUCAUGUGCAUAUUAGCCGGACGAGUCCUAUUUCGAGAAAAACACAAAAGUUGCACAAAAAUGUACAAGCGUAAAGAUCGGUGUGUAGUAGGUAGAACUGCUACCCUGUUUGAUGUGUGAUGUCAGUGAGAAAUGUACAUUUAGCUGGUGAUGACCUUCUUUUUCUUCAUUCUUUCUCGUACUGCUUUGGCCUGUAUGUCUUUUAAAAAGACAAUCGGUGGAGUAUGUAUCAGUUGUUUUUGUAUUUUUAAUACAAUAAUUGUAAAUAUUGGUUAUAUUUUUGUUCAAAUGUACUAUGUUUAUGCCUCAACAUCCAGUUUAUAUGAAGCUGGGAAUCAAUAAAUACUGCAUAAAGAAUCAA